rnacentral:rRNA from 1 species
CAACGAGCGCAACCCUUAAGCUUAGUUGCCAUCAUUAAGUUGGGCACUCUAAGUUGACUGCCGGUGACAAACCGGAGGAAGGUGGGGAUGACGUCAAAUCAUCAUGCCCCUUAUGAUUUGGGCUACACACGUGCUACAAUGGACAAUACAAAGGGCAGCGAAACCGCGAGGUCAAGCAAAUCCCAUAAAGUUGUUCUCAGUUCGGAUUGUAGUCUGCAACUCGACUACAUGAAGCUGGAAUCGCUAGUAAUCGUAGAUCAGCAUGCUACGGUGAAUACGUUCCCGGGUCUUGUACACACCGCCCGUCACACCACGAGAGUUUGUAACACCCGAAGCCGGUGGAGUAACCUUUUAGGAGCUAGCCGUCGAAGGUGGGACAAAUGAUUGGGGUGAAGUCGUAACAAGGUAGCCGUAUCGGAAGGUGCGGCUGGAUCACCUCCUUUCUAAGGA